rnacentral:snoRNA from 11 species
AUUCCGAUGAGGUAGACAUCCCCAAUAAGUAUAGGAAGUGCCGUAUGACACUUUAAACCGCACCGGAUCACGGCGGCGCGUGUCCUUCCACCAAUUCACCACCUCUCCGAUCAUUAACACGAUCUCGAGCUCCGGUUUUUGGUCUGGAUACCUCGCUUUGCCUCUUCCGCUGUGUGUGUGAUUUUGAACGGGUCUCUGAGGUUU